rnacentral:tRNA from 1 species
GCUCAGUUGGUAGAGCAUGGUGUUUGCAACGCCAGGGUUGUGGGUUCGAUUCCCGC